rnacentral:pre_miRNA from 1 species
AGCCUUCUGAAUCAGUGCAGAGAUUUCGUCAGACACCAACCCAUUAAGGCUGAUCAAUCUCUCAAGAUAAGGAUAAGUG